ACUCCUACGGGAGGCAGCAGUGGGGAAUAUUGCACAAUGGGCGCAAGCCUGAUGCAGCCAUGCCGCGUGUAUGAAGAAGGCCUUCGGGUUGUAAAGUACUUUCAGCAGUGAGGAAGGUGGGUAUGUUAAUAGCAUACUCAUUUGACGUUAGCUGCAGAAGAAGCACCGGCUAACUCCGUGCCAGCAGCCGCGGUAAUACGGAGGGUGCGAGCGUUAAUCGGAAUUACUGGGCGUAAAGCGCAUGCAGGUGGUUUGUUAAGUCAGAUGUGAAAGCCCGGGGCUCAACCUCGGAAUUGCAUUUGAAACUGGCAAACUAGAGUACUGUAGAGGGGGGUAGAAUUUCAGGUGUAGCGGUGAAAUGCGUAGAGAUCUGAAGGAUACCGGUGGCGAAGGCGGCCCCCUGGACAGAUACUGACACUCAGAUGCGAAAGCGUGGGGAGCAAACAGGAUUAGAUACCCUGGUAGGCUCUAGUACUAGUACGGUAGGACGAACGGACGGAC
rnacentral:rRNA from 1 species